GGUCAACUACGCUGUCCUGGAGGGCCUGCUUCCGCGUGUGUGCGGGCAAAGGUCUUGCCCCCCUUUUGCCCCCCGUCAACGUGGGCCCGUGGGUUCGAUUCCCGCAGCCGGCACCACAAUAUUUGACCAAAGAAAAUGUCGCGGCCCCCCUACCCCCUACCGCGAAUGAAUCCAGGGAAGAAACUGUAUCUGUUGACUAAGCUUUAAAGCCGACUGAGUCAUAUGAGCCUGACAGUCCGUCAUAACCUGUUGUGUUGCAUAUGGACUAUAAACUUGAUUAAUAAUAAUAUAAUAUAGUAUAAGUUAAGAAUCAAUAUAGCCCUAUAGGAAAGAUAUAAGAAUUAAU
rnacentral:lncRNA from 1 species